rnacentral:rRNA from 1 species
AAUUUUCGGCAAUGGGGGCAACCUUGAUCCAGCCAUCUCGCGUGUAUGAUGAAGGCCUUCGGGUUGUAAAGUACUUUUGGCAGAGAAGAAAAGGUAUCUCCUAAUACGAGAUACUGCUGCAGGUCUCUGCAGAACAAGCCUCGGCUCACUACGUGCCAGCAACCGCGGUAAUACGUAGGGUGCAAGCGUUAAUCGGAAUUACUGGGCUUAAAGCGUGUGUAGGCAGUUCGGAAAGAAAGAUGUGAAAUCCCAGGGCUCAACCUUGGAACUGCAUUUUUAACUGCCGAGCUAGAGUAUGUCAGAGGGGGGUAGAAUUCCACGUGUAGCAGUGAAAUGCGUAGAUAUGUGGAGGAAUACCGAUGGCGAAGGCAGCCCCCUGGGAUAAUACUGACGCUCAGACACGAAAGCGUGGGGAGCAAACAG